rnacentral:rRNA from 1 species
AUUGAACGCUGGCGGCAGGCCUAACACAUGCAAGUCGAGCGAGCGGCGGACGGGUGAGUAAUGUAUGGGGACUGCCCGAUAGAGGGGGAUAACUACUGGAAACGGUGGCUAAUACCGCAUACUAUCGGAUAACCCAUAGGGGAUUAGCUAGUAGGUGGGGUAAAGGCUCACCUUGGCGACGAUCUCUAGCUGGUCUGAUAGGAUGAUGAGCCAACCGGGGACUGAGACACGGCCCGGACUCCUACGGAGGCAGCAGUGGGGAAUGUUGCAAAAUGGGCGCAAGCCUGAUGCAGCCAUGCCGCGUGUAGGAAGAAGGCCGUAGGGUUGUAAAGUACUUUCAGCGGGGAGGCGUUACCCACAGAAGAAGCACCGGCUAACUCCGUGCCAGCCGCCGCGGUAAUUC